rnacentral:lncRNA from 10 species
CUACAUUCUCCCUUUCCAAGAUAUUCAUGAGAAAUAAUAAAGAAAUAAACUGCCUCUGAUAGUUGUAGCCUCCCAGGUUAACUAUAACUAUAGUAUGUGGAGUCAACUAGGUGUGGAAUUGUUUUAGACAGGUCCAGAGAGCAUAGCCUUCCCAAACAGUUUUCCCAUGCAAACCCUAAUCUAGUGGCAGCUUGCUUAGAUCAUGCACUGCCCAAGAUAUUUAACAAUCAAUGUCUUUUCCAUCAUGGUAGUUGAUCCUCAUAACCAUUGCGUAAGAAACACCAAGCAACUAUUAUUACUCCUGUUUUACACAUAAAGACUCAGUGUUUCCAAAAGUAUAGAUGGUUUGGCCAAGGUCACAUGGUGAAUAUAUAUCCAGGGCUAAAAUUCAAGUUAUUGCCAGAGUUUUUUUAUCUUUCAUUUCCUAAUCCCUACUGAACAUGUCUUUUCCUUUCUUAAUGCACACAUUUAAUAUCCCUAUAUGACUAUGCAAUUAUAUUUUGAUUCAUUUGAAGUUUUCAGAAAAUAAUCUCUUUUUUGUGUGUCUAGAUUUUAAAUAGAAAUAUAUUCAUCACAACUUACUUGUUGCAUCAAGGGACCAAACUACAUUCCAGAAGCAAACAUUAAAUCCUUUCCAU